UACGAGGGGGGCGAGCGUUGUUCGGAAUUAUUGGGCGUAAAGGGUGCGUAGGCGGUUUGGUAAGUCUGAUGUGAAAUCUAUGGGCUCAACUCAUAGUCUGCAUCGGAAACUGCCGGGUUUGAGUAUGGGAGAGGUGAGUGGAAUUCCUGGUGUAGCGGUGAAAUUCGUAGAUAUUCGCAAGAACACCAGUGGCGAAGGCGGCUCACUGGCCCGGUACUGACGCUGAGGUGCGAAAGCGUGGGGAGCAAACAGG
rnacentral:rRNA from 1 species